UGCAAAUUGAAAGGGAAAUUGAAAUGUUAAGAAGGUCACCUGAACGCGAUAUUAACUUUGAAGGAGAGCAACCCUCUGCUGAAAAGAGGACACAGCAGUGACCUGAGUCUCCUGAUCCUGAACCUGAACCUGAACCUGAACCUGAACCUGAACCUGAACCUGAACCUGAACCCAGCUGUGUGUCCUUCAGGAGUGACCGGUCAAAUCAUCGCUUUUUUGACUUUUCAUUUUAUUGUGAAAAUCUGCUCCUGUUGCAGCCCUUCCUGCCUUCUUCCUGACAGGUGGAGCUGGGACUCAUUCCAGGGAACAGCUCACCUGUGUCAGACAUUUCUCUCCAGGUGGAGAGCGACCCUCUUCUUCAUCAACUCUUCUUCGUCAACUCUUGUUCAUCAACUCUUCUUCAUCAACUCUUUGGACUGUUUGAAGAAACUGACCCAUCAGAGACCAGACCCUGCUGAACCUGAACCUGA